GUCCUGGCCCUAAACGAUGGGUACUAGAUUGUGGGCUGGACAUGGGCCACAGUCGAAGCAAAAGUGAUAAGUACCCCGCCUGGGGAGUAUGGUCGCAAGGCUGAAACUCAAAGGAAUUGACGGGGGCUCACACAAGCGGUGGAGCAUGUGGCUUAAUUCGAGGCUACGCGAAGAACCUUAUCCUGGGCUUGACAUGUGCGAAAGCGGUAGGAAGUACCCUGCGGAAACGUUAGGGGAACGGUAUCCAGUCCGGAACCUACUACAGGUGCUGCAUGGCUGUCGU
rnacentral:rRNA from 1 species